AGAAGAGCUGGUUUCACAGUUAAGUGUUAUCUGUUGUUUUUUAUAAACUGGGAAUUGCUUAAAGACAGAGGUGGAUAUAUUCUUCCUACAAUCCUGACCCCUGUUACAGUGCCUGACAGACGAAGUACAGCUGAACUUACUCCCAGAGAGAAGCUCCACUGACCUAAGGAUAACCUAGUUGUCUGUGGCUGUGACAGGUUCAGGAAUGGGUUUAGUCAUCCCCAAUUCCAGUCAAGGAAGCACAAAGAUCUUUCCAGGGUCAGCUGGGCCACUGGACCACAGGCUUCCGGUGAUGCUCAGGUCUUCUUCAUCCAUCCUCAUGGCAGGACCCAGACUGAUGGAAUAAG